GUCUCCAUUCAAGGAUUUUACUUCGUGCACUUCGUCCUACACAGCAGGGGACCGACAGGAAUCGCACCUCGCCCUCCGUGGACAAUGUUUCUCCUGCAGUACACAGCAGUGCCAAGGGAAACAAUUGAAAGCAGCCUGACACAUGGCGUGAUGGAUCACCAGAGGGAUGUUGGACACUACUGCUGCUACAUCUCUCAAGUAUCUGUGCCCAGUGCUGCUUCAGAGAUUGUAUUACAAUAAAUUUUAUUCCUAUGCAUUGGA